CACCGGCAGCUCUAGUGGUAGCAGUUUUUAUUGGGCCUAAAGCGUCCGUAGCCGGUUUAAUAAGUCUCUGGUGAAAUCCUGCAGCUUAACUGUGGGAAUUGCUGGAGAUACUAUUAGACUUGAGAUCGGGAGAGGUUAGAGGUACUCCCAGGGUAGAGGUGAAAUUCUGUAAUCCUGGGAGGACCGCCUGUUGCGAAGGCGUCUGACUGGAACGAUUCUGACGGUGAGGGACGAAAGCUAGGGGCGCGAACCGGAUUAGAUACCCGGGUAGUCCUAGCUGUAAACGAUGCGGACUUGGUGUUGGGGUGGCUUUGAGCUGUCCCAGUGCCGAAGGGAAGCUGUUAAGUCCGCCGCCUGGGAAGUACGGUCGCAAGACUGAAACUUAAGGGAAUUGGCGGGGGAGCGACCACAACGCGUGGAGCCUGCGGUUU
rnacentral:rRNA from 1 species